rnacentral:tRNA from 1 species
GGUGCUUUGGCAGAGAUGGUUCUAUUGCGCUCCGUUGAAGGCGGAAAUAUUGUGGUUCGAAUCCACGAGGCACCA